UGUUUCUUCACAGCCAGCCAUUAACUCAUGAUUCACCGUCGUCAGAAACCCCGCCAGGCCCUUUCCUUCACAGCCAGCCACUAACCCAUGAUUCACCCCAGCCACGUCACCGCUUCCAUGCCACACCUCUGCCAUCGCAACAGGGGAACAAUCAGUUGCUGCGUGAUUCACCGUCUUCAGAAACCCCGCCAGGCCCUUUCCUUCACAGCCAGCCACUAACCCAUGCCACACCUCUGCCAUCGCAACAGGGGAACAAUCAGUUGC